ACGCUAGCUAUAGGCUUAACACAUGCAAGUCGAGGGGAAACGGCAUUAUGUGCUUGCACAUUUUGGACGUCGACCGGCGCACGGGUGAGUAUCGCGUAUCCAACCUUCCCUCCACUCGGGGAUACCCCGUUGAAAGACGGCCUAAUACCCGAUGUUGUCCACAUAUGGCAUCUGACGUGGACCAAAGAUUCAUCGGUGGAGGAUGGGGAUGCGUCUGAUUAGCUUGUUGGUGCGGGUAACGGCCCACCAAGGCUACGAUCAGUAGGGGUUCUGAGAGGAAGGUCCCCCACAUUGGAACUGAGACACGGUCCAAACUCCUACGGGAGGCAGCAGUGAGGAAUAUUGGUCAAUGGACGUAAGUCUGAACCAGCCAAGUAGCGUGCAGGAUUGACGGCCCUAUGGGUUGUAAACUGCUUUUGUUGGGGAGUAAAGUGAGGCACGCGUGCCUUUUGCAUUUACCCUUCGAAUAAGGACCGGCUAAUUCCGUGCCAGCAGCCGCGGUAAUACGGAAGGUCCAGGCGUUAUCCGGAUUUAUUGGGUUUAAAGGGAGUGUAGGCGGUCUGUUAAGCGUGUUGUGAAAUUUAGGUGCUCAACAUCUACCUUGCAGCGCGAACUGGCGGACUUGAGUGCACGCAACGUAUGCGGAAUUCAUGGUGUAGCGGUGAAAUGCUUAGAUAUCAUGACGAACUCCGAUUGCGAAGGCAGCGUACGGGAGUGUUACUGACGCUUAAGCUCGAAGGUGCGGGUAUCGAACAGGAUUAGAUACCCUGGUAGUCCGCACGGUAAACGAUGGAUGCCCGCUGUUAGCGCCUGGCGUUAGCGGCUAAGCGAAAGCAUUAAGCAUCCCACCUGGGGAGUACGCCGGCAACGGUGAAACUCAAAGGAAUUGACGGGGGCCCGCACAAGC
rnacentral:rRNA from 1 species